GGGCGGCUGCGGGUCAGCUGGGGCCGCGGGUGGAGCUGCACCCACGGGCACGGUCCCCGGCUGCCCCGACCGGCGCUCGCGCGGAGGUGGGUUCGCGAGGAUGCUGUGAACGCGGUUUUGCACCGGAAGCUCGAUGGUUGCCGUGCGUCACGUGCACGGGGCUCGUGGGGGCCGAGGCGGCUGACCCCGGUGGACAGCGUCAGGGGACAGCGCCUCGGCCUUCUGGGCGGGAGGCAUGCUUGUGCGGAGGUGCAGGCACAGCCUCCCAGGUGACAGCAGUGGGCAUCUCCCCAAUCUGCCUAAGCAGAAGGUGGUUACCCGAAGGAAAGCCGCUGUCUGGUCCUCUGUACACUUUUUAUCAAAAAGACAGCUUUUCCGAGCCAGUUUCUCUGAACGGCCAACUGAGAACAAGCCGGAGACAACGUGGAACGGGACACGAGGUAGAGGAUUACAGCCGCCAGUAGUGUGUCGCCCGAAUUAAACAGGGAGAAGGCCCGUGGGGUCGCACGGGCUGGAUCUUUGUCGAAAGCCCGUGUAGCCGUGACCGUUUGUGUCCUUGUAGACCAGAUGCAAGAAAGUACAGUCUCUGCAGGGCCCCACUGUGGUCUUGCCAAGAUGUGUAUGAAAUGGGUGCUUUUCCUUCUAAAGGGACUUGGCCGGCUGGAAACUUAAGCACCUGUAAGGAGGCGCUGGAGUCUUGGGGAGAAAUGUGACUGCACCUGCUCACAGUGAGAGCCUUGGCCAGUGACCAGCCACUAGCUGGCCCCAACCAGCUCCAGGUGCCAGGAGGAAUUGGGCCUGGCUGGCUCCACACCCUGUGGGUCAUCAGAAAGUACAGAUACAGCUCAUGGACCUCGUAAGUGUGGCUGCCAGGUGGUGAUUGCCGGGUGAAGAGUCCCGUUCCCCUCCCCCCGCCACCCAGUGGUGUUACCCAUCUUCUGCUGGCCAGGAACCUGUUGGAUUGCUCCAUACUUCAUCAUAGGCACUGUUCCUACGUUGAACUGUAUUUGGAUUAUUUUUGUUAAUCGCAUGAGGUGAGGGUGCAAGUGAUUAAAAAGGAUCUAUGUAUUAACAUCAAAAGUACUGCAUAGCUGGGCACAGGUGACUUGCCUAUAAUCCUAGCUACUUGGGAGGCUGAGAUCAGGAGGAUUGAGGUUCGAGGCCAACCUGGGCAAACAGUUUGUGAGGAAACAACUCCCCUCCCCUCCUGCCUAAUCGCCAACAUAGCCAGAGCAGAAUGGAUUGGAGGCAUGGUUCGAGGUAAAGCGCCUGCUUUGCAGGUACACAGCCCUGAAACCCCAGUCCCACCACACAAAAAAUAUAUACACACACAUUUAUGUAUAUAUAUGCAACAGUGUCCAGAACUGCUUCUUCAUGGUGAUGUAGGCAGUAAGGGUCCCCGUGAUGGGGACAUACCACCCCUUCUGCUGUGGGUUCCACACACCAUCUGGUUUACUCAAGUGGCAAUGCUUCUCCUGUUUUGCCAGCACAGACUCCUCGAAGGUGCAUCAAACAAACCCUUUAAUUCACUUUUAAUACCUUUGAUGUAAAACUCCAUGUCCCAAUGUAUAUGUGCUCUGGGUCGGGGCGGGGGACCAGUACUGGGGUCUCAACUCAGGGUCUUGUGCUUGCUGAGCAGGCACUAUUGCUGGGGUCACAUCCCCAGCCCUCUUUGCCCAGGCUGACCAGGAAAGCACCCCUAUUUAUGCUUCCUGCAGAGCUGAAAUGAUGCCCAGCUACUCACUAUGUAUUUGUAUGUGUGUGAUACGCUAUUGUUUGGCUACUUCCUAGACAAUAAAGUUUAUAUUUAACAGUUAAAUUAAGUUUCAGAGUCCUAGGCUGGGGGUGCCCUUGCAUGUGUACAGCCUGCGUUCUGGGAGAGCUUAGGCUCUUGCCAACAUUUCUAAAUCUGAGUUGCUACCUCUUUAUCUUUCCCUCAGUCGUGAUCUUG